rnacentral:rRNA from 1 species
UAAUUCCCAGCGAUGUCGCGAGAUGGCAUCAUCUUGCGACCAAAGGUGUGAUUCCGCUCUAGGACGGGCCUUCGUGGUAUUAGGUAGUUGGUGAGGUAACGGCUCACCAAGCCGACGAUGCCUACCGGGUGUGAGAGCAUGACCCGGCACACUGGAACUGAGACACUGUCCAGACACCUACGGGUGGCUGCAGUCGAGAAUCUUCGGCAAUGGGCGAAAGCCUGACCGAGCGACGCCGCGUGAGGGAAGAAGGCCUUCGGGUUGUAAACCUCUUUCGUAGAGGAGGAAGGGGCCGUGCAGAGCGGUCUUUGACCUAUUCUAGGAAGAAGCUUGGGCUAAGUUCGUG